UGGCCGGCUGGCGCGCGGACCCGUGGUUUGCGCUGCCACCGCCCAAGAGCACCGGGCGCGAGCAGUUCCAUCUGCCGUGGGCCGA
rnacentral:tRNA from 1 species